UCGGCUUAGAGUUUGAUCAUGGCUCAGAUUGAACGCUGGCGGCAGGCCUAACACAUGCAAGUCGAGCGGUAGGGAAGCUUGCUUCUCACGAGCGGCGGACGGGUGAGUAAUGUAUGGGGAUCUGCCCGAUAGAGGGGGAUAACUACUGGAAACGGUAGCUAAUACCGCAUAAUCUCUCAGGAGCAAAGCAGUUCGUUGCGCUAUCGGAUGAACCCAUAUGGGAUUAGCUAGUUGGUGAGGUAAUGGCUCACCAAGGCGACGAUCCCUAGCUGGUCUGAGAGGAUGAUCAGCCACACUGGGACUGAGACACGGCCCAGACUCCUACGGGAGGCAGCAGUGGGGAAUAUUGCACAAUGGGCGCAAGCCUGAUGCAGCCAUGCCGCGUGUAUGAAGAAGGCCUUAGGGUUGUAAAGUACUUUCAGUUGGGAGGAAGGCGUUGAUUAAUAUCAACGAUUGACGUUACCAACAGAAGAAGCACCGGCUAACUCC
rnacentral:rRNA from 1 species